UAUAGGAUCAUGUCCAGGUUCCAGAGGACAUCUUGUCCAGAACAUUUUGUCCAGGACCUACAGAACAUCUUGUCCGGGUUCUAGAGGACAUCUUGUCCAGUACCUACUGGAGAGCCUAUCCAUGUUUAGAGGACAUCUUGUCCACAACCUACAGGACAUGUUGUAUAAGGCCUCAAAACAGCUUGUCCAGAACAUUUGGGACAAUGGAUGUGAAAUAACUUGCUAAAAUAAAUCCUUACAAGGUUUAUGAUCAGUUUAUCAUGGCCUAAUAUAAAUGUUUCCAUCUUAUUCCCACAUGUAUGCCUCAGUAUGAAAUAUAGGUAUUUACAUCAACAUAUGCACCGCCACCUGAUCUUCCUCACAACUAGUCAUAGGACAUAGGACAUGAGUUCAGCAGAGGUUCUGACCAUAGGUACCUUUCCUAAACUUCCAAUCAUACACCAGCUUCCGUGUGCAUUCAUAUGACAUAGUCUAGAAUAUUAUAGAUAUCUGGUUGCUGUAAACCAGUAAAUAUGAUUUUUAUUUUUUUUAUCAACUUUGUGUCAAUUUAAGGUCACCAAAGUCAGUGUCUGUUUUGUUUGUAUGAAUGGAAGUAUGCAGGUGAUAGAAAAUGUGGUUGUGACGUUUGCUUGUGUCUGAAUAUUACUAUAUAUUGCUCUUAAUCUUUUGAAAAACUAUCAUUCCUGUGAAAGAUGCUUGCGUUUAAUCCUUUACAAACCAUCCUAUUAAUGAAAGAUUUCUAUUUUUUGUAAUGUAAAAUGCUGCUUGAUCUCAGUUACUUUUUCUUUGGGCCAGAACAGUUAAUUUUUGUGUUUUACAGGUGAGCCUUUAACAAGUGAAAUUGAAAAUUUGAUUGAAAUUUACUUUAAUAUUCUUAUUUGUUGGGAUAUACACAUUUUGUUUCAUGAUGUUCUUUUAAAAACAUUACUCAGUAACCUUUUAGUAACCUCUAUCUUUUCUGUGAUUUUCUCCCAACUUUUUACCAAAUCGGUCAAGAAAACCAUCAAACAAAAAUUAAUGAAUCUGGCCUCAAUCUGAUUUAAAAGCAACAAAAAGCACAAUGAUGUUGUGUGGAAUAUUCCUUCCAGGGUUUAUGUCGCUCAUCGACUUUCACUCACCGUCCAUUGUGUCCAGUGUGGGAAAGUAUAUUUUUACAUUUAAUGCAGAAAGAAAUAUAUAUGGCAGACAAUUCCUUCCAUUCCCAUGUUGCUUGUUACCUCCACGUGUCUUGUUGUGAUGUGUCCGGUGGAAUGCUUACCUCUGUGUUGUGUGCUAUAUCUGUGUUAUACCUGUACAGUACAAUACUGCAGCCAGAUGACAUGUGGUAAUAAAGGUUUCAAAUAGCA